GCCUCUCUUUAGUGGCUAAACGCUGGACCGCGCCCGCCGGAGGACAGACGCAAAAAAAUUCUUUCAGAAGAGCUGUCAGUCUGAGCGUUAGCAAGCAAAAAUCAGUUAAAACUUUCAACAACGGAUCUCUUGGUUCCGGCAUCGAUGAAGAACGCAGCGAAAUGCGAUAAGUAAUGUGAAUUGCAGAAUUCCGUGAAUCAUCGAAUCUUUGAACGCACAUUGCGCCCCCUGGCAUUCCGGGGGGCAUGCCUGUUCGAGCGUCAUU
rnacentral:rRNA from 1 species